CGGAGUUGUAGAAGGAGGGGAAGAAGAUUAUUUUCACAAAUGUCGGGAACCCUCAUGCUCUCGGAUAGAAGCCAUUAACAUUUCCCCGUCAGGUGGUAGCAUUGUGCCAAGCUCCAUUUCUAUUGGAUGACCCUAAUGUCGGGCUUUUAUUCCCAGCAGAUGUCAUUGCAAGAGCUAAACAUUAUCUUUCAUUGAAUUCGGGUGGUUUAGGUAUUCACAUAUUCCUACA